rnacentral:rRNA from 1 species
UACGUAGGGUGCAAGCGUUAUCCGGAAUUAUUGGGCGUAAAGAGCUCGUAGGCGGUUUGUCGCGUCUGCUGUGAAAACUGGAGGCUCAACCUCCAGCCUGCAGUGGGUACGGGCAGACUAGAGUGCGGUAGGGGAGAUUGGAAUUCCUGGUGUAGCGGUGGAAUGCGCAGAUAUCGUUUGGAACGCCAAUGGUGAAAACAGACAGCUGGGAGUGUGCUGACGCUGAGACACGAAAGCCAGGGGAGCGAACGGG